CGCGUAGGUGGUUGUGUAAGUCAGAUGUGAAAUCCCGAGGCUCAACCUCGGAACUGCAUCUGAAACUGCAUGACUCGAGUACAGCAGAGGGAAACGGAAUUCCUGGUGUAGAGGUGAAAUUCGUAGAUAUCAGGAGGAACACCGGUGGCGAAGGCGGUUUCCUGGGCUGAUACUGACACUGAGGCGCGAAAGCGUGGGGAGCAAACA
rnacentral:rRNA from 1 species